rnacentral:rRNA from 1 species
UUAAGUUAGUAAGGGCGCACGGUGGAUGCCUUGGCACUAGGAGCCGAAGAAGGACGUGACAAACGACGAAAUGCCUUGGGGAGCUGUAAGUAAGCGUAGAUCCAGGGAUGUCCGAAUGGGGGAACCCAACAGGUAGAUGCCUGUUACCCGUAUCUGUUAAGGAUAUGAGGAGGAAGACGCAGUGAACUGAAACAUCUAAGUAGCUGCAGGAAGAGAAAGCAAAAGCGAUUGCCUGAGUAGCGGCGAGCGAAAGGGCAAGAGGGCAAACCGAGAAGUUUACUUCUCGGGGUUGUAGGACUGCGAUGUGGACUUAAAGAUUAUAGAAGAAGACCUUGGGAAGGGUUGCCAGAGAGAGUAAGAGCCUCGUAUUUUAAAUAGUCUUUAUACCUAGCAGGAUCCUGAGUACGGCGGGACACGAGGAAUCCCGUCGGAAUCUGGGAGGACCAUCUCCCAACCCUAAAUACUCCCUAGUGACCGAUAGUGAACCAGUACCGUGAGGGAAAGGUGAAAAGCACCCCGGGAGGGGAGUGAAAGAGAACCUGAAACCGUGUGCCUACAACAAGUUCGAGCCCGUUAAUGGGUGAGAGCGUGCCUUUUGUAGAAUGAACCGGCGAGUUAUGUUAUGAUGCGAGGUUAAGUUGAAGAGACGGAGCCGUAGGGAAACCGAGUCUGAAGAGGGCGCCAUAGUAUCAUGAUGUAGACCCGAAACCAUGUGACCUACCCAUGAGCAGGUUGAAGGUGAGGUAAAACUCACUGGAGGACCGCACCAGGGCACGUUGAAAAGUGCUUGGAUGACUUGUGGGUAGCGGAGAAAUUCCAAACGAACUUGGAGAUAGCUGGUUCUCUCCGAAAUAGCUUUAGGGCUAGCGUCGACAGAAAGAUUCUUGGAGGUAGAGCACUGUUUGGGUGAGGGGUCCAUCCCGGAUUACCAAUCUCAGAUAAACUCCGAAUGCCAAUGAAUUAUGGUCGGCAGUCAGACUGCGAGUGCUAAGAUCCGUAGUCGAAAGGGAAACAGCCCAGACCACCAGCUAAGGUCCCAAAAUAAUUGUUAAGUGGAAAAGGAUGUGGAGUUGCACAGACAACUAGGAUGUUAGCUUAGAAGCAGCUAUUCAUUCAAAGAGUGCGUAAUAGCUCACUAGUCGAGUGACCCUGCGCCGAAAAUGUACCGGGGCUAAAACAAUUUACCGAAGCUGUGGAUCCUUUAGGGGAUGGUAGGAGAGCGUUCUAUGUGUGGUGAAGGUGUACCGUGAGGAGCGCUGGAACGCAUAGAAGUGAGAAUGCCGGUAUGAGUAGCGCAAGACAGGUGAGAAUCCUGUCCACCGUAAGACUAAGGUUUCCAGGGGAAGGCUCGUCCGCCCUGGGUUAGUCGGGACCUAAGGAGAGACCGAAAGGUGUAUCCGAUGGCCAACAGGUAGAGAUUCCUGUACUAGAGUAUAGAGUGAAGGAGGGACGCAGUAGGCUAACUCAAGCGUGCGAAUGGAAGAGCACGUCUAAGCAGUGAGGUGUGAUAGGAGUCAAAUGCUUCUAUCUGUAACAUUGAGCUGUGAUAGGGAGCGAAGUUUAGUAGCGAAGUGAGUGACGUCACACUGCCAAGAAAAGCUUCUAGCGUUAAUUUAUACUCUACCCGUACCGCAAACCGACACAGGUAGUCGAGGCGAGUAGCCUCAGGUGAUCGAGAGAACUCUCGUUAAGGAACUCGGCAAAAUGACCCCGUAACUUCGGGAGAAGGGGUGCUGGCUUAAAGUCAGCCGCAGUGAAUAGGCCCAAGCAACUGUUUAUCAAAAACACAGCUCUCUGCUAAAUCGUAAGAUGAUGUAUAGGGGGUGACGCCUGCCCGGUGCUGGAAGGUUAAGAGGAGUGCUUAGCGGUAACGCGAAGGUAUGAAUUGAAGCCCCAGUAAACGGCGGCCGUAACUAUAACGGUCCUAAGGUAGCGAAAUUCCUUGUC